CCCUCGGUGUUUGCCCUUUUGAAAAAGUCAUGCUUUCCGUCUCUUCUCCAAGCCCGACGCUCCGCUUGCUGUCAGGACCUGAGCGAGGAGCCAGUGGGAAGCUCCCUGCUGCACCAGCUGUGCAGCUGCACGGAGGCCUUCUUCCUGGGCCUGCGCGUCAAGUGCCUGCCCUCGGUGGCGGCCGCGUCCAUCUGCUGCUCCUCGCGGCCCAGCCGGGACUCUGACAGGCUCCAGCUCCACACAGACGGCAUCCUGUCCUUCUUGAAGAACAACAAGCCGGGGGACGCGCUGUGUGUGCUGGGCCUCACGCUGUCCGACCUGUACCCCCACGAGGCCUGGAGCUUCACCUUCAGCAAGUUCCUUCCAGGGCACGGUCACGUGCCACGAGCUCUGCCGCCUUCUGGGGCUGGGGAACUGCCGCUGGCUCCGCUGCCUCAUGCAGGGUGCGCUCAGCCUGGACGAGGCCCUGCGGCGGCCCUUGGACCUCUGUCCCAUCUGCCUACGGAAGCUGCAGCACGUCCUGGGCUUCAGGCUCAUCGAGAGGUACCAGGUGAGCUGGGUGAACACAGUAGCUUCAGCCACAGCUGGGACCUGAGGCAGCAUCUGAAGUCCCUCUCAUUCUCCCAGCGUGAGCUGGCAGACCCUGAAGGGAACGCAGAGACUGACCACAGCUGGACUUGCGCCGCCUCAUCCUCUUAGUGAAUGAGGUCCUCAGAGGCUUAAGCACGCAUUACUUAUCCAAAAUGCUUCUGUUCAGGCGAAUGCACGAAGCGUUGAGGUAGGUCAACUGCAUUUUGUACGGUGGAAAAUAACCAGUUUGCUUUUUGUAUUAUGACGAAAAUGAAAACCUUUCCUUAAAGAAAAGGAAGCAUAAUCUCAGAAAUCUGGAUCCAGGGAAUCCCAAAUAACCCCCCCCAAAUUUUAAUCCUUGACAUUCAUAAUCACUUGGAUUAAAAUCUAA
rnacentral:sRNA from 1 species